rnacentral:misc_RNA from 1 species
UCUCCGUAGGUGAACCUGCGGAGGGAUCAUUAACACGUUUCCAAAAAACGUUUAUCAACCAAAUCAACGUGAACCUAAAACCAACUCCCUUGUCAGUGUGACGAUCGAAUAAUCAUCAGGGUGGAGAACGGUGAAAGCCGUACUAUGACUCGAUCUAGGGGCCCUUGAGGCUCCAAUCCACUAACAAGUGUCUUUGCGACCACCUGGCAGUCUACAUUCGUGUAGCGUUCUGCCGAAUAUCUAACCAAUUUUUUAACCCCUUUCACAACAUACUAAUAACUGAACCAUUUUUUUUCAAGCAUGUCCUUGUGAUAUGAUUGAUAAAAAGAUAUACGUAAUGCUGAACAACUCUUAGCAAUGGAUAUCUUGGUUCUC